CUGGUUGAUCCUGCCAGUAGUCAUAUGCUUGUCUCAAAGAUUAAGCCAUGCAUGUCUAAGUACAAGCCGAGUUAAGGCGAAACCGCGAAUGGCUCAUUAAAUCAGCUAUGAUUCAUUGGAUCUUUACCCACACUUACUUGGAUAACUGUGGUAAUUCUAGAGCUAAUACAUGCACCACGUCUCUGACCGCAAGGGAAGAGCGCUUUUACUAGUUCAAAACCGGUCGGGCCUCGGUCCGUCACCCCAUUGUGUUGAAUCUGAAUAACUUUGAGCUGAGCGCACGGUCUCCGCACCGGCGCCGCCUCUUUCAAGUGUCUGCCUUAUCAGCUUUCGAUUGUAGGUUAUACGCCUACAAUGGCUAUAACGGGUAACGGGGAAUCAGGGUUCGAUUCCGGAGAGGGAGCCUGAGAAACGGCUACCACAUCUAAGGAAGGCAGCAGGCACGCAAAUUACCCACUCCCGGCACGGGGAGGUAGUGACGAAAAAUAACGAUGCGAGACUCAUCCGAGGCCUCGCAAUCGGAAUGAGUACACUUUAAAUCCUUUAACGAGGAUCUAUUGGAGGGCAAGUCUGGUA
rnacentral:rRNA from 1 species